GUGUUGAACUGAACAGGGGACUUUUCUUUGUAUGCUUUUAGCAUGAUUUGGACCUGAUAAUGCCGCUAACAGGUGCCAGAUCCCUCCUUGGCAUGAUUUGGACCUGAUAAUGCCGCUAACAGGUGCCAGAUCCCUCCUUGGCAUGAUUUGGACCUGAUCAUGCCGCUAACAGGUGCCAGAUCCCUCCUUGGCAUGAUUUGGACCUGAUAAUGCCGCUAACAGGUGCCAGAUCCCUCCUUGGCAUGAUUUGGACCUGAUCAUGCCGCUAACAGGUGCCAGAUCCCUCCUUGGCAUGAUUUGGACCUGAUCAUGCCGCUAACAGGUGCCAGAUCCCUCCUUGGCAUGAUUUGGACCUGAUCAUGCCGCUAACAGGUGCCAGAUCCCUCCUUGGCAUGAUUUGGACCUGAUCAUGCCGCUAACAGGUGCCAGAUCCCUCCUUGGCAUGAUUUGGACCUGAUAAUGCCGCUAACAGGUGCCAGAUCCCUCCUUGGCAUGAUUUGGACCUGAUCAUGCCGCUAACAGGUGCCAGAUCCCUCCUUGGCAUGAUUUGGACCUGAUAAUGCCGCUAACAGGUGCCAGAUCCCUCCUUGGCAUGAUUUGGACCUGAUAAUGCCGCUAACAGGUGCCAGAUCCCUCCUUGGCAUGAUUUGGACCUGAUCAUGCCGCUAACAGGUGCCAGAUCCCUCCUUGGCAUGAUUUGGACCUGAUCAUGCCGCUAACAGGUGCCAGAUCCCUCCUUGGCAUGAUUUGGACCUGAUAAUGCCGCUAACAGGUGCCAGAUCCCUCCUUGGCAUGAUUUGGACCUGAUAAUGCCGCUAACAGGUGCCAGAUCCCUCCUUGGCAUGAUUUGGACCUGAUAAUGCCGCUAACAGGUGCCAGAUCCCUCCUUGGCAUGAUUUGGACCUGAUAAUGCCGCUAACAGGUGCCAGAUCCCUCCUUGGCAUGAUUUGGACCUGAUAAUGCCGCUAACAGGUGCCAGAUCCCUCCUUGGCAUGAUUUGGACCUGAUAAUGCCGCUAACAGGUGCCAGAUCCCUCCUUGGCAUGAUUUGGACCUGAUAAUGCCUCUAACAGGUGCCAGAUCCCUCCUUGGCUUGCUAGCUCAGCUCACCCGUCGGAUGUUGCUGAUGGGGAUGUCGGUGA